UUUUGGUGAGAGUGGCGAACGGGUGAGUAACACGUGAGUAACCUGUCCUUUUCUUUGGGAUAAGCUUCCGAAAGGGUGUUUAAUACCUUAUGUUCUGUCUGCCUCGCAUGGGGUGGGUGGGAAAGAUUUUUUCGGUAAAGGGUGGGCUCGCGGUCUAUCAGCUUGUUGGUGGGGUGAUGGCCUACCAAGGCUUUGACGGGUAGCCGGCCUGAGAGGGUGGUCGGUCACAUUGGGACUGAGAUACGGCCCAGACUCCUGCGGGAGGCAGCAGUGGGGGAUAUUGCACAAUGGGCGAAAGCCUGAUGCAGCGACGCCGCGUGGGGGAUGAAGGCCUUCGGGUUGUAAACUUCUUUUGCUCUGAACAAGGCGCACCGUGGGGUGUGUUGAGUGUAGGG
rnacentral:rRNA from 1 species